AUUUUUGUUACUUUCUCCAAGUCAUUCUGCGCGCCGGUUGAAAUCUUCCCUAGCAAAACCUGCUCAGCAGCUCGACCACCAAGUGUCAUGCAAGUCACAUCAAAGAGCUGCUCCUUGGUCAUCAAAAGAUUUUCAUUGGGAACAUACUGAGCAAAUCCUAGUGCAGCAGUACCACGUGGAACAAUUGUUACCUUAAGCAAGGGCUCUGCAUGUUCCAAGAACCAACCAGCAACAGCAUGACCAGAUUCAUGGUAAGCAACUGUCUUCCUUUCAAGCUUGCUAAUAACCUUAUUCUUCUUUUCCAAGCCACCAAUUACCCUGUCUAUAGCUGCCUCAAAGUGUUCCAUUGUCACUUGUGCACUCUCAUUCCUUGCAGCAAUUAGAGCAGCUUCAUUGCAAACAUUUGCAAUAUCAGCUCCAGAAAAUCCUGGAGUAAGAGCAGCAAGUCUCUGAGAGUAAUACGAUGGAUCAUUAUCAAGUUUUAGCUUUUUCAAAUAUAUCUGGAAAAUCUGGUUACGGCCUUUGAUGUCAGGUUUAUCAAUUGUAAUUUGACGAUCAAAUCGACCAGGUCUCAAUAGAGCUUUGUCUAAGAUAUCAGGCCUAUUUGUGCCCGCAAGUACAACUACUCCUGAGGUUGUUCCAAAUCCAUCCAUUUCUACUAGCAACUGAUUAAGAGUACUUUCACGCUCAUCAUUGCCACCCGAAAAGCCUCCACGCCCCCUCGCCCGACCAAUUGCAUCUAUUUCAUCAAUGAAUACAAUACUGGGCGCACAUUGCCUUGCCUCCUGAAAUAAACUUCUAACCCUGGAUGGCCCAACUCCAACAAACAUUUC
rnacentral:misc_RNA from 1 species